ensembl:lncRNA
GAACACCACAUGACAGGAGGCCACCGUACAGGGAUUACAAGUUUUUUUUCUCUCUCUCUCUGAAAUUCUUUUUACCAUCUAUAGAGUUCAUCUGACUUUCAGAUGCUGAACUCUACAGAAGUGACAGCUCUGUUCCUCAGCAGCCAUUAACAGUGUCGCUGGACUGACACUGCAACGGCUGCUAUACACCACCCGGCACAAUGUGACCACAAAAGGGAUUGGUGUCACUUUCUUGGCACUCAAACUACUUUGAAGACCCCGUUUCAUUGGCAAAGCUGAAUCAGCCUUGAAAAAUGCAACACGGCUGAGUCAUACUUCCUCCUGGAUAUGACAGCGCUUCCUCCACAAACUGAUCUGUCCACCCCUCCCCUCCCCUCCCCUCCUCACAUUUUAAAAAACGUUAAAGGGACGGAACAUGGAAGAAGUGAGAAGGCAAUGAGUCCACUCUAGUCUCAAACAUAAUAAACCUACAUGGAAAUAUAAGACAGGCAAGCUCAAAAUAAAUGACUCAGAAUGCAUGUGAUAUAUAUAGCCUUGAUUUAAAUCUGUUUAUAUAUUAUACAGCAUUUUUUCUUUUCUCUUUUUUUUAAGGAAAUUAACAAUUUUAUUCAACAAAGGUGUAUGAUUCAAAAGUAACAGAAAAGACAUUUGCAUUACCAAAUAUUCAAAUUUUCUAGUUCUAUUUUUUAUUUCUUUUGAGCUUUCUAUUCAUCAAAGAAUCCUGAAAAGAAACGUAUCACAGUUUUCACAAAAAUAUUAAGCAGCACAAAUUUUCAACAAUGACAAUAAGAAAUACUUCUUAAGAUUUCUGAAGGAUCUGAAGACUUGAGUAAUGGUUGCUUUAAAAAAAUGUAGCUUUGCCAUUACAGGAACAGAUUAUACUAUAAAAUACACACAUAAAUAUAUAAAACAGAAAAAAAAAUUAAAUUGCAAUAAUAUUUCACAAUAUUACUGUUUUAACUGUAUUUUUGAUCAAACAAAUGCUGCCUUGGUGAGCAUAAGACAUUUUGCUCAAAUCAUACAUAAAUCUUACCAAAACAGUAGCAUAAAAUAUACACAUUUUAUAAGG